AUGCUGCUCACCACCAUCCAUGGAUACUACCUGCAGGCACUAGCCUGGCUGCCCAAGGAGAAGCUGUGCUCUCAAUACCACCACAGCCUGCUCCAGGCCGGCCACUGCUAUGGUCCACUGGACCCUGUCUCCAACAUCAUCCUCAAUACAAUCUGGUACAGCCGAGCCUACCCUCUAACCAAGAAGGUUGACCUGGAGGCAAUCAGCACAGGAGGCCUUUCUCGAAUUGCAGUCAGAUCCUUCUAUGGCCUUGUCUCCUUCCUGUGCACCCGCUGCGCCACACACCUCUCGCCAGACCAAGCCAUGCAGCGACUGCAGGCGUCUGGGGCCGAUCUCCGAAUCGCUGAUCCUAACCACCUUGAUGAUGAUAACAAUGAUGAAGCUAUGGUAUCUGCCAGUGUCGAACAAGCUUAUGCUGCAGCUGCAGCUGCUGCAUUCCACCCCAAACCUCUUGACCAGGCAGAGCUUCUCCGACCGUCUAAUCCAAUGUUGCGGAUGGCCUCGCACUAUCUCAAGAAUGGCGGCAAGCUCUCCCACGUGGACGCUGACCAUCUUGCCGAAUGUUUGUUCUAUUCCAUCAGCGAGUUGGAACAAAGUGAGCACCCAGAAACAAACAUCGAGGCGGUAAACAAGUUGACCUACGGCAGGAUGGAUCGACUCAUGAAUGACUUCUGGAACGAGCAUGCUGCAGUCGUUGGAAUGGUGAAAUCUUUAAUUGACGCAUAUAGCCGGCAACCUGGGGUACCCAAGUACGAGUUGCAUCUUAUCUGUGGUGUCAAUAAGUAUGUUGAUGGCCCUGUGUACACGGGUCCUUUCACUCGCAUAUAUCAUUACUCCCACAUCAACUUCCUCACUACCCAAUCUGCCGGUGCACCAUCAACGCUAUUCUUUGCUGAAUGCUGCAACGAUGGCACUCAGACUCAGGAGAUGGGCUGGUGCUGCCCUGUCGGCGUACCAUCUCCAGGCACUGGACAAGUCCGUUGCCUGUACUGUGAGUAUGCCGGGAGCAGGGUUGUGCAUCCAGCACAGGGGAGUUUCGUUGGACGUGGCCUAGAGUUUGAGAAGAUGUGGGGCGGAGAAAAACUAUAUUCAGAACAGUAUACCAAUGACUGCAUCAUAGCGGGCAGCCGUGAGCCGACUUACUGGGUGGAUUAUCUGGAAGACGAUUGCAUCUACCGCAGCUAUCGUCUUGAUGGUACCGAGAAAGAGGAAAAGAUCUUCUUAAAGAAGGGGAUUCCUGAUGAUGAAGAGAUGAAGUACUUGAUAGAGAUGGGGUUUAUGAUCAUCGAGGAUGAUGGUUUGUCCUAA
rnacentral:rRNA from 1 species